CACGUAGGGCGCAAGCGUUGUCCGGAAUUAUUGGGCGUAAAGAGCUCGUAGGCGGCUUGUCACGUCGGUUGUGAAAGCCCGGGGCUUAACCCCGGGUCUGCAGUCGAUACGGGCAGGCUAGAGUUCGGUAGGGGAGAUCGGAAUUCCUGGUGUAGCGGUGAAAUGCGCAGAUAUCAGGAGGAACACCGGUGGCGAAGGCGGAUCUCUGGGCCGAUACUGACGCUGAGGAGCGAAAGCGUGGGGAGCGAACAGG
rnacentral:rRNA from 1 species